AACGAACGCUGGCGGCAGGCUUAACACAUGCAAGUCGAACGCCCUAGCAAUAGGGAGUGGCGCACGGGUGAGUAACGCGUGGGAAUGUACCAUUUAGUGGGGGAUAACUUCGGGAAACUGAAGCUAAUACCGCAUACGCCCGAGAGGGGAAAGAUUUAUCGCUAAAUGAUCAGCCCGCGUGAGAUUAGAUAGUUGGUGGGGUAAUGGCCUACCAAGUCUACGAUCUCUAGCUGGUCUGAGAGGAUGAUCAGCCACACUGGAACUGAGACACGGUCCAGACUCCUACGGGAGGCAGCAGUGGGGAAUAUUGGGCAAUGGAGGAAACUCUGACCCAGCCAUGCCGCGUGAGUGAUGAAGGCUUUAGGGUCGUAAAGCUCUUUCGCCGAUGAAGAUAAUGACGGUAGUCGGAGAAGAAGCCCCGGCUAACUUCGUGCCAGCAGCCGCGGUAA
rnacentral:rRNA from 1 species